AGCCCACGGCCGGGAUCGAACCGGCAAUCUUCUGAUUAGAAGUCAGACGCCUUAUCCAUUAGGCCACGCGGGC
rnacentral:tRNA from 1 species